rnacentral:rRNA from 1 species
UACGAAGGGGGCGAGCGUUGUUCGGAUUUACUGGGCGUAAAGGGCGCGCAGGCGGUUCUGUUUGUCGAGUGUGAAAGCCCCGGGCUCAACCUGGGAACUGCGCUCGAAACGGCGGAACUAGAGUUCGGGAGAGGAGAGUGGAAUUCCCAGUGUAGAGAUGAAAUUCGUAGAUAUUGGGAAGAACACCUGUGGCGAAAGCGGCUCACUGGACCACAACUGACGCUGAGGCGCGAAAGCUAGGGGAGCAAACAGG